rnacentral:rRNA from 1 species
UUGUUUGGCCAUAUAUUAAUAUCCAAUUCCGUCAGAUCUCAGAAGCUAAGCAGGGCUGGUCCUGGGUCGUACUGGGACGGGAGACUGCAGGGAAUACCAGGUGCCACAGU